AGAGUUUGAUCCUGGCUCAGAUUGAACGCUGGCGGCAUGCCUUACACAUGCAAGUCGAACGGCAGCGCGGGAGCAAUCCUGGCGGCGAGUGGCGAACGGGUGAGUAAUAUAUCGGAACGUGCCUUAGAGUGGGGGAUAACUAGUCGAAAGACUAGCUAAUACCGCAUACGACCUACGGGUGAAAGUGGGGGAUCGCAAGACCUCAUGCUCUUAGAGCGGCCGAUAUCUGAUUAGCUAGUUGGUGGGGUAAAAGCCUACCAAGGCGACGAUCAGUAGCUGGUCUGAGAGGACGACCAGCCACACUGGGACUGAGACACGGCCCAGACUCCUACGGGAGGCAGCAGUGGGGAAUUUUGGACAAUGGGGGCAACCCUGAUCCAGCAAUGCCGCGUGUGUGAAGAAGGCCUU
rnacentral:rRNA from 1 species